AGGAAGAUCCACUGGAGAAGGGCAUGGCAACCCACUCCAGUGUUCUUGUCUGGAAAAUUCCAUAGGCAAAGGAGCCUGACGGGCUACAGUCCAUGGGGUCGCAAAGAGUCAGACACAGCUGAGCGACUGAGCACUCAGACACACACAGCACUCCCCUUUAAUUGCUCACCAUUAUUUAUAAAAUCAGCAGCAUUAACGGUUGCCUGCCCCCUUCACAAGGCAGUUAAGAGGGAAAGAUCCCCAGCUGUAGAGCUUUACCCCUCGAUUCUUCAGCGUGCACAGUUGGUGGUGCUUUGGGUAAACGUCAAGGCGAUUUAAAUGGACCUGAUCGCCUUUCACGUAGCCAGGUUGGAAACCCCACUCUUCCAUGCUCGAUAGGAAGUGUCAGCAGCCACCGUCGUAACUUUCUCCGAGUCCCUUCCCGAGCAGGGGAGGCUGAUGUCAGAUGAUGCCGUCGUCAGAUGAUGCCGUCUGUAAACAGAGUAGAAGGGAGAGAAAUAAAGGGAGCGGGUUAGUUGCAACAAAUGCUUUGGUCAGCAGUUCUCCACCCCUUCUGCUCGCCCACCUCCAAAUGCAGAUGCCAAAAAAGCGUGAUCCUUCCUUUUCCAGCCACUUUUGUGGUUCAGGGAGGGAGGCCAUGAGACCCCCUUUGCCCAGAGAGAUGUAGGCAGAGCGACCUCCGGGAAAGAUAUUUCUCCGUGGAUACAGGAGAUGGGUGUGUGGGAAGGGUGGCCUUUUCCACCCUGACAGCCCUCCUUUCCUGCAUUCACACCUGGCCGCGUGAAGACCUGCUGUCUGUGGGUGUGGCAACGACCUGGUGGCCUUGAAGCAUGCCACCUGAGGAUAAAACCUGAACCUGUGACAGAUGUUGAAACGACACCUAAAAGAACAAUAGUGACUCAGUUUUAGCAUUGCUGCUGCUGCUAAGUCACUUCAGUCGUGUCCGACUCUGUGCGACCCCAUAGAUGGCAGCCCACCAGGCUCCGCCAUCCCUGGAAUUCUCCAGGCAAGAACACUGGAGUGGGUUGCCAUUUCCUUCUCCAAUGCAGGAAAGUGAAAAGUGAAAGUGAAGUCGUUCAGUCGUGUCGGACCCUUCGCGACCUCAUGGACUGCAGCCCACCAGGCUUCUACAUCCAUGGGAUUUUCCAGGCAAGAGUACCUGAGUGGGGUGCCAUUGCCUUCUCCACAGUUUUAGCAUUGGGACCUAGCAAAUCAUAGAGGUUCUAAAAAUAUAACACAAAAAUAACUCAAGAC
ensembl:lncRNA